rnacentral:pre_miRNA from 1 species
CUGAUAGGAUAAUGGGUAACACGAAUCGAAGACGAGCUUUUGCAUCUGCUCGGCUUCUCAUCGUGUUACCCAGCAUCCUAUCGU